ensembl:snRNA U7 U7 small nuclear RNA
AAGUGUUAACAGCUCUUUUAGAAUUCGUCUUGCUGGCUUUUAUUGGAAAACCUUU